AGGGCCAGAAAACACAGUGCCGAGACCUACCAAACAGAGAGAAGCUGGAAAAGAAGUUCAUCAGGAAGGAGCAGAAAACACAAUGCCGACACCUUCCAAAAAGAGAGCAGCUGGAAAAGAAGUGAAUCUAGAAG